rnacentral:rRNA from 1 species
AAUGUGUAAAGUAGAAAGGCAAAUCCGCUAAACACAGAUUAAAGCGGAAGAAUAGAAAAUAAACAUGAUUCCUUUAGUAACUAAUGAUAUUAGUGAAAAAGGAGUAAAGCUCAAAAGGAAAAUCUUUUCAUUUGCUAUAUAUAUAUAUAUAAAAAGCAUUGAUUAGAAUUGUCAAGUUGAGAAUUUAAUUCUGUAUAAUGUUAUUAAAAAAAAAAAAAAAUAUAUAUAAAAAUGAAAUAUAUUGAAAUAAUUUACCAAAGAGGGUUUAAGUCCCGUAGUUUUUAUAUAUUAUUUUUUUUUUACAUUAGGAUUAUUUUCUUGUUGAGUCAUGUUCUUCGAUAGUGGAGCAUAAAUAUGUGUGAAUAAAAAAAUAAAGUAAAAUUUAUUUCACAUAAAGCUAAAUAUGAAUAGGAAAUCGAUAGUAAACAAGUACCGUAAGGGAAAGAUGAAAUAGUACUCAGGAAUGAGAAUUAAAAAGAACCUGAAAUCGUUAAGGUGGAACGGAUUAAAAUGGGAAGCAUGUAAGGAGAGUAAGUAGAAUUCCUCUUUUUGAGGGGUUUAUUAUUUUCUUUAUUGAUAGAAAUAUCAGUAAAAUAAGAUAAUAUCGAUAAAGCUAUAGCUGAGAAGGAAUUAAGAAAAUUAAUAGAUACUUAUGUAUGUAUGUGUAACCGUAUAAUCGCAUAUGUGCACGUAUGUAAUAUUUUUUUUUUUAUUUUUCCUUAUGCUUAUUUUUUCCGCUAAAGGAGGGAACAAAAAUAGUUUUGUAAGAAAAAUGAAAUAUUUUUUCUCCAAAUUAAGGGAAUUAUCCAAUUUACUGAGGAACCAAAAUGGUAGAAAUUUAAUUAAUUUUUUUUUUUUACUUAUAUUUAAGUUAUUUCUAAAAAGUACCAUUUUAACCCAAUCGUCUUGAAACACGAACCAAGGAGGUUAUCAAAUAUGCGAGUGUAAAUGAUAUAUUAAACAUUCAAUAUUAAAAUAGAUAUAAAAUAAUAUACGCAUAUAAUUAUUUAUUAUACUUUAAAAUUAUUGUAGAAUUAGUUGAAAUGAUAUAUUUUCAUACUGAUGCAUACAGUGCCGAUAGAAAAAACAAUCCAUUACAUAGUAGUAUUAAUAUAUAUAUAUAUUUAUACAUACAUAUACUAUGUGUGUUUUGUAUGCUAUAUCGAGCAAGAGCAUAAUUGAUAAGUACCCGACGAGGCUUUGAACUACAAACAUUCUGUAGAUUUUAAUGAUGUUUGGCAUAUUAUUUUAGUACGAAGCCUUACGAGAAAUCGAAUUUAACUAUAACAGUGCAAGUAGCUUAAUAUUCAAGAAAGUUUGUAGGUUUUUAUGUGAGAAUUCACAUAAAUAGAAAAGUCUAUAUAUCUGGUUAUUUUCGAAAAAUCUCUCACGAUCGCUGGAGUUGACUUUAUUAUAAUUUUACUAGAGGGUAGAGUAUCCAUUACAUUUAUAGUUAAAUGUAUAUAUAUGUAUUAUGGAUUAUUAGGAAGCAUCAAGGGAAUAAUAUGUUAAAUAUAUAUAAUAUAAAUUAAAAAUAUGUGUGUACACCAGUAUACAUAUAUAAUAUAUGUUAUAUAUAGUUUUUCUUUUCGUUGACACACACCUAAUUUUAUAUAGUAAAGAACUCUUCCUCAAUAGUAAAAAUUGGGUAAAAUAGCUAGUGUGUUUUAUCUAUUUUUCAUAAAUAAAAUAACUUCAAGUGGGCCAUUUUUGGUAAAGCAAAAACUGGCAAUGAGGGAUGCUCCUAACGCUUGGAUAAGGUGCCUAAAUAUUCGCUCAUGAGAUCACAUAAAAAGGUGUUGGUUCAUAAUAACAGUAGGACGAUAAUCUUAAAAGUUGAUAUUCGCUAAGGAAUGUGUAAAAACUCACCUACCUAAUGUACUAGCCCUAAAAAUGGAUGGCGCUAAAGUGAAUUACCGAUACCGGGCCAUAAAAGGUAAUAAAAAGAAGGGUACUUCUUUUUAAAAUCCUUUUAUGAGUAGAAAAUCGUGGGGUUUUGUGUAGAAGCGAAAUACGUGAGUUUUCGUGGAACAAAUCCUAGUGCAGAUCUUGGUGGAAGUAGUAAAUAUUCGAAAGAAAAUAACUUUUGAAGUGUUUUUUGGAGUGACGUAGUUUUGUUGAUUUUGUCGCCACAAGGUAUACAUGGAAAAUGUUCGUAUGUAUUAUAUGUAUAUGUAUAUACGGAUGCAUAUAUAUAUAUAUACGUACGUACAUAUAUACGUGUUGCCUUCAGUUGGGUAAUGACGCCAAAAGUAUAGCCGCUCCCAAAGAGUUUUAGCUUAUAGGGCUACCAAACGGCAACAAUUAUAAAUUUAUUUUUAUAUAUAUGCCAAUCUUACGUAAACAAGGGGUAAACAGGUUGAUAAACCCUGUGCUUCCAACGGAAUACAAACGAAAGGAGAUGGUAACAUGUAUAUUAGAGAUGAACCUCCCUACAUAGGCCUUACAGUCGGUGUGCUAGCUCCAUUGCACGUUUACAGUUAUAGGUGAAAAGACCUUCUUUUCGUAUGUGUAUAUCAGUUCUAAAAAAACGGAUGGUACAUAUAUGGAGGGAGGUAUUUUUCCUGUGCACAAUUAAAAACAAAAUUAAAGGAUGCCAUUUAUUGGAAUAUUUAAGGAUUUCAAUAUUUGAUCUAUUCUUUCUUUUUUUUUUGUUGUUGCACUGGUAAUUUAUGUUUUAUAUGAAUUACUCCGAUGUUGGUGAGUCCUACAUUAUCUGAAUUAGGGGGGGGAACAGCAGUAAAAAGAAAUCCGAAAUUUAAGAGUAUUUCUUUCUUGGUUACUGUCUGAUUUGUAUUUCAACUAGCGAAGCGUGCCAACAAAAAUAAAAGUCACAUAUCCAAAGUUAAAUAACCUUUUUAGUGUUAUUAUAGAUAUAAAGUUAGUUUGAGAAUUAAUGGAAUAGAAAGGUCCGUAAGCUUCAUGACAAGAAGUAUAUUGCCUCUGAGGAAAAGCAAAUAAUAAAAAUAUAGAUAGAAGUAGGAGAGUAAAGAAGAGGAUGAUGGAAAUAUGAGUAUUAUGUAUUUAUAAGGAAUUGUGUGAUAGUAUCUUAAUGAUUUUUAAUUUUUGAGGUAUUAUUAUUCAGUUCUCUAUAUUUAUAUAUAAUUUGUGUUUCUAUUUGUCCUUUUUUUUUUCUUCAUCUCUAUUUCACGCCGUUUUGGCAUUUUUAUUAUGUGUCAUUAGAUAAAUUGCGAUGAUAUUAAACGUUGUACUCAGAACUGAAAAAGGACUAAUGUAACCCACUCAGUUUAAUUAAAUUUUUAUUACUGUGAUAUACAAGACUAUUAUAAAAUAUAUGAUACAUUUAUAAUAGCACAGUAAAUAAUCCCUUCCAGUGCUAUGAGUAUCAAAAUUGAUGAAACUCAUUAUGCGCGAGUAAAUGGAGGGAUUGACCACAUGUAUAUAUAUGUGCGUCUAUAAUUUUGUUAAGGCAACUAGAAGUGGUUGAUCGUCUAGGUUUCGGAAAGUGCCUACGAUGCCGGUGAGAAAUCUAAAUGACCAAACACUGAUGGAUUGGGGGUUCGAAUGUCUCUACUAAACUAUCUAGCGAAACCACAACCAAGGGAACGGGCUUGGUAAAAUCAGUUGAGGAAAGAAGACCUUUGUUUAACAUUACUCUAAUAUGGCUUUGUAAAAUGACAAAAGAGGUGUAGCAUAAGUGGAAGUAAAAAGAAAAAACUUUAAUGUAUUUUUUUUUUUUACGACAGUGAAAUACCACUACUCUUUAUACUUAUUUUACUUUAUCUAUUUGGUGAAAAUUUUGUACGUUUAUGUUAGCUGUAAAUUACUUUUGGAGCUUUUUUUAAGUUUUAGAGGUUGUUUAUUUUUAAUAUAAAAUUUGGAUUAAAAGAAAUUAAGUGCGUAUAUUUUUGUGCGCUAUUUUUUUCUGUUAUUUUUCCAGUAUAAAUUUGAUAUACCUGUAGAGACAUAGUCAUAUGUGCGAGUUAGAAAAUGGGCCUUUAAUACUAUUUUAUACAUAUAAUAUAUGUUAUAAAAAAAAACAAGCUCAGAGAGAUUAGAAAUCUCUUGUAGACUAAAAGGGGAAAAAGCUUGUUUAAUUUUUCUAUCUCUAUAAAAUGAGUAGAAAAAGCGUGAAAGCGUACGUUUUGUAUAUAUGGCUUCAUUGGGGCACUCACCUCUAUAUUUAUUAUAUAAGGAGUAGCCUGAAGAUAUGUUAUAGCAGGGAUAACUUGCUUGUGGCUGCCAAGCUUUUAUUUUAUUAAGAAGUAACGCGGCUUAUUGUUCUGUGAGUAUAUAAUGGCUUUUUUCCUAUCAUUGAGAAGCAGCAUUCUCAAAGUGUCGGAUUGUUCAACUGUUAAAAGGGAACAAGAGUCAAAUUUUAGACCUACAUGAGUGGGUCUGUUUUACCUUACUGAUGAAAUUAUUGAUUAAACUCUGUAAUGUAAAAGUAAUCCAUCUUAGUACGAGAGGAACAGUUGGUUCAAAUUGUUUGCAAAGCAAACCGAUUGCUAAAUCAAUGUUUGCAAGGCGAAGUUUGUAGGUUAAUGACUGAAGGCAUAUAAAGUCAGAAACCUUGCUUGAUAAUCAUUGCAGAUCGUUCUUUUUUGGAACAUCUUUUUGAUUUUUGCAAAAAGAGAAUAAAUAAUGCGUGUUGAAUUUCUUUUUUUUUAAAAGAAUUCUCAUUAAUAUAAUCCUUUGUUAAUAAUAUCUUAUAGUCUUAAGAGCACUGAGAUAUUUUUAAUUAUAAAAACCCAAAAUCAAAAAAGAUAUCACACCCUGUAGACGACUUGUGUGCCUCAGAGUGCUGUAAACAUGGCUUAAUUUUCUUAAUUAUUUCUGUUGAGGCUCAUCUCUUGUGGUAAUACCGUGAUC